ensembl:lncRNA
GUCUGUGUCUGUGUCUGUGUGCGUGUGCGUGUGCGUGUCUGUGUCUGUGUCUGUGUGUGUGUGUGUUGUGUGUGUGUGUGUUUGUGUGUGUGUGUGUGUGUGUGUAUGUGUGUGUGUGUGUGUGUGUGUGUGUGUGUGAUUUGCUGAAGCAGUAACAGGAUUUCUCGUUGUCCUGAGAGUUCAGAUGUGAUGCGUCAAGACUUCUGAGUUUCAUUUCUGUCCUGAAGAGAUGAGCUGUUUACCCAAUAACACUUUUCUUCAGUAUUUCUGUUCUCGGGGCCGAACACAGAGCGGCAUUUGACUCCCGUCAGCCACAAUAAAGGAUGAUCCGGCCUCUGACCCAGCAGCCCUGCGUGAUUCCAGCAGAUGAGGAGUGACACGUGGUUCAGAGGUUAAUUUGUGUAACAGCCCAAUUUGCAUACAAAUGACAAAUGACAGAAUUUUUCUCUCUCCAAACGUUCAAUGUCGAGCACAUGAAGAGCACCGUGGGCUCCCGCUGCCUCGAUCGGCCGAGGCUCUGAAGUCGGGCACCUUGUUUCACAUUAAUCUCGAGCGCAGUUCUGCAGUGAAACUCUGAACCGACGGGACGCUGAUAGAAACGGAUCAAGAACAUCAGGGUUUAGGGUGAGAAAACGUGAACAAAUCCCAUUGAACGGAAUGACCGUUUCUA